rnacentral:tRNA from 1 species
CAGGGAGACAACAAAAUGUUAAAUAUUAAUUUUGUCACCUUAGGUCGAUCGGUAUCUCACAUUCUUGAUUAUUCAAGGAUUUUAUUUCCUAAGUUUUUUCUAGGUCACACCCAUUACUUUUCCUGGGCCAUUAGCUCAGGUGGUUAGAGCGCACCCCUGAUAAGGGUGAGGUCCCUGGUUCAAGUCCAGGAUGGCCCAUAUCUCUAUGUUGGGGGUAUAGCUCAGUUGGUAGAGCGCCUGCUUUGCAAGCAGGAUGUCAGCGGUUCGAGUCCGCUUACCUCCACUGAUCACCACCUCUUCAUAAUUUAUAGAAGGGAAUUGUUUUGAGUUAUGAUCAUAUUCUGAACGAAUCUAGCUUCCUAAUUGAAUCUAUUAAGAUGCUGGACUCAUUGAAUUAAUUUCAUUGUUUUCAGAGAACCUUGACAACUGCAUAGAUUAUUUUAAAGACAAUAAGCAUCUUUAAUGAUGCAGAUUUAUUAUUUGUGCGAAUGCAUUAAAUAACAAUUCUAUUAAGCUGAUGCUUCAAUUUUGAAGUUAUU